ACUCAAAGGAAUUGACGGGGACCCGCACAAGCGGUGGAGCAUGUGGUUUAAUUCGAAGCAACGCGAAGAACCUUACCAGGUCUUGACAUCUCCUGACCUCCCUAGAGAUAGGGCCUUCCCUUCGGGGACAGGAUGACAGGUGGUGCAUGGUUGUCGUCAGCUCGUGUCGUGAGAUGUUGGGUUAAGUCCCGCAACGAGCGCAACCCUUGUCCUUAGUUGCCAGCAUUCAGUUGGGCACUCUAAGGAGACUGCCGGCUAAAAGUCGGAGGAAGGUGGGGAUGACGUCAAAUCAUCAUGCCCCUUAUGACCUGGGCUACACACGUGCUACAAUGGAUGGUACAAAGGGUUGCGAAGCCGCGAGGUGAAGCCAAUCCCAUAAAGCCAUUCUCAGUUCGGAUUGCAGGCUGCAACUCGCCUGCAUGAAGCCGGAAUCGCUAGUAAUCGUAGAUCAGCAUGCUACGGUGAAUACGUUCCCGGGUCUUGUACACACCGCCCGU
rnacentral:rRNA from 1 species